rnacentral:rRNA from 1 species
UUCCUGGUGUCUAUGGCACGGUGGAACCACACUGAUACCAUCCCGAACUCAGAGGUGAAAUGCUGUUGCGGCGACGAUAGUUGGAGGGUUGCCUCCUGUAAAAAUAGCUCGAUGCCAGGUU